rnacentral:rRNA from 1 species
UACGGGGGGAGCAAGCGUUGUUCGGAUUUACUGGGCGUAAAGAGCGCGCAGGCGGUCGUUCAAGUCGCGUGUGAAAGCCCCCGGCUCAACUGGGGAGGGUCACGCGAUACUGAUCGACUCGAAGGCAGGAGAGGGUAGUGGAAUUCCCGGUGUAGCGGUGAAAUGCGUAGAUAUCUGGAGGAACACCGGUGGCGAAGGCGGCAUCCUGGACCGACACUGACGCUGAGGCGCGAAAGCUAGGGGAGCAAACGGG